GUCCGAAAAUACUAGUCAUCAAAAUAGAUAAAAAGAGAUGUAUCUAAAACUAAAAUACGUCUAGAUACAUUUCCUUUUAUCCAUUUUGAUGACAAGUAUUUCCGGAC
rnacentral:pre_miRNA from 1 species